AUUGAACGCUGGAGGCAGGCCUAACACAUGCAAGUCGAACGAGUGGCGGACGGGUGAGUAAAGUCUGGGAAACUGCCCGAUGGCGGGGGAUACCUACUGGAAACGGUAGCUAAUAUCGCAUACCAUCGGAUGUGCCCAGACGGGAUUAGCUAGUAGGUGGGGUAACGGCUCACCGAGGCGACGAUCCCUAGCUGGUCUGAGAGGAUGACCAGCCACACUGGAACUAGGACACGGUCCAGCCUCCUACGGGCGGCAGAAGGGGGGAAUAUUGCACAAUGGGCGCAAGCCUGAUGCAGCCAUGCCGCGUGUAUGAAGAAGGCCUUCGGGUUGUAAAGUACUUUCAGCGAGGAGGCGUUACUCGCAGAAGAAGCACCGGCUAACUCCGUGCCAGCAGCCGCGGUAAUUC
rnacentral:rRNA from 1 species